AGAGGUCAGAGGAGAAUGGCCAGACUGGUUCGAGCUGAUAGAAAGGCAACAGUGACUCAAAUAACCACCCGUUACAACCAAGGUAGGCAGAAGAUCAUCUCUGAACGCACAGUACGUCGAACUUUGAGGCAGAUGGGCUACAGCAGCAGAAGACCACGCCGGGUGCCACUCCUUUCAGCUAAGAACAGGAAACUGAGGCUACAAUUUGCACAAGCUCAUCGAAAUUGGACAAUAGAAGAUUGGAAAAACGUUGCCUGGUCUGAUGAGUCUCGAUUUCUGCUGCGACAUUCGGAUGGUAGGGUCAGAAUUUGGCGUCAAC